GUNGUCCGCACGAGCGCACCCCCGAUCGUAUGUUGCCAGCAUUUAGUUGGGGACUCAUGCGAGACUGCCGGUGGCAAACCGGAGGAAGGUGGGGAUGACGUCAAGUCAUCAUGCCCCUUAUGUCCAGGGCUACACACGUGCUACAUUGGCGUAUACAAAGGGUUGCGAUACCGCGAGGUGGAGCGAAUCUCACAAAGUACGUCUCGGUUCGGAUUGCAGGCUGAAACUCGCCUGCAUGAAGGUGGAGUUGCUAGUAAUCGUGGAUCAGCAAUGCCGCGGUGAAUACGUUCCCGGGCCCUGUACACACCGCCCGUCACACCACGGGAGUGAGCAACACCCGAAGCCGGUGGCCUAACCCGCAAGGGAGGGAGCCGUCGAAGGUGGGGCUCGUGACUGGGGUGAAGUCGUAACAAGGUAGCCGUACCGGAAGGUGCGGCUGGAUCACCUCCUUU
rnacentral:rRNA from 1 species